rnacentral:lncRNA from 1 species
UAAGUUCCUUCUUUCCAAUGCCGAAGAUAGCGAGUAAGAGAUCGACGAGCCAUAGUCCCCGAGUGGGAUGCAGAUUAGGCCUUUCUUUUCUUAAUUUGUGCAUAGUGCUUUAAGAGAAUAUUGUAAAUGGAUUUUUGUAUUUUUUUCUCAUAUAUGCAUAAGAGGAAACCUUGCGGUUUCAUUUUUCAUGUACUUCCCUUUGUCAGCCUUUAGCCACACGAAUGUCUCUUCGAGUUAAAAGGAAAUUCUCAGAUUUAUAGUACAGCCCUAGGGCUCAUUGGCCUGGCCCGUCUGCUCUUAUGCGCUCGGUCGGUACGACCUUUUAGUAUAAGCCAGUGUUUGAGCUCUUAUGCUUUUUCUCUUAGGAAUAUUUAGUUAACUAUUUUGGAUUCAGUCUCCGAGUCGAGUUUUGACUCGUCCUCAUUGACCCUUAUGUUUUUUAAUUUAAAGUUGGCCCUUCGGCUCUUACGCAUUUAGUCGGUACAACCUUUUAUAUGGGCUGGUGGCAGUGGCUCUUACGCAUUGGGUCGGUAUGACCUUUUAUAUAGGCUGGCAGUAGUGGCUCUUACCCACUGGGUCGGCACGACCUUUUAUAUGGGUUUUAUUUUUCCCUCCUUAAGGUCUUUUUGAAAUUGUGUUUGCCUGAUCUUUGACGGUUCGAUAUAACUCUUGAUUGUGAGUCGUUAUAUGGUGAUGAUCGAGCACCUCGGGAGGUUUUGCUCGAUGGCUGAGUGUUUCGAAGCCUAUAGUUUGGAGCUGACAUGGUUGAAGCUCUUUUGCCUAUGUUGAGGGUAGCCCAUUUAACCGGUUCUUUUCGAAGUACAUUCGAAGUAAUUGAAGGCCUUUGCUUUUAUAGCGACGGUCGGGCAUCCCCGAGUCGCAUUAGUUUGGCUAGUACAACCUUGCGACUAUAGUCAUUGUGUUUGGCCGGAGCCUUUCAGUCCCCGAUGAAGUUGUUUCGGCGCCUAUAUCGAGGGUAUACUUUUUAGAGGUCUUACAAGUUCGAUAUAUAGCCUUAACUUUAAGAUCAGGAUUAUGCCUUUUGUAAGGUUUUAUAUGUUUUUGCAUGCCUUUGUGGUCUUACAGUAUGGUUCAUGCCUUGCUUGAGGUCUUAUAGAUAUUGUUGUUGCCUUAUAUAGGUCUUACGAGACCAAGGCUUCCCACAUGGGGUCUUAUGGCCUCGGUUUCUUGAUAAGUUGAUGGGGGUGGCAAUUGGCGGCAGUCCCCGAGUCAUCAAAAGUUUCUUGGCUCGGUAGCCAUUCCUUGUAAACUUGGUAUUGCCUCAUCGAGGGCUUACGAGUUUGAAGCUCCGACCUAGAGGUCAUAUGGUUUCGAGUUGUUGACGUCUUUCCCUGAGUGUUCAGGAUGUUUUUUGGUCCUUUUUUGCAAAAACAUACUAAGCUUCUUUGAUUACUUGGUACAAGUAUACACAUUUUCACUAUUAAAGGCUUGGUUAUUCUAUAUGGACACAGUUCGUUUGAGUGUUUGGACCUGUACAUUAUUUUCCUAUCGAAACCUCGUUCAGCACAUCUUGGCUUCUCCGAGGAGGUGACCUUCUGGGGGGUUGCCCCCAAUAUUCAAGGUUGAUUGAAAAAGAAGCCUUGAAUACUGUUGAGUCUUCCUUAGGUAGCAUAUAGAUGUUGCCUCGUUAAAAACCUUGCCGGUAAACCCUUCUUUGGAUAAAAACCUGGUCGAAGGAAAAUAGUGCAAUGUAUGAUUUUGGAACCUAAGUCCUUCGAGUUGGAGAGCGCUUCGGCCGUUUCCAUCGGAUACCUGCAUUCAAGUUAGUAUAAAAUGUAACUAAAAAAGGGAGAUGACCAUACCUUAGUGCUGACGGUGCUUCAGACCUCGAUGUGAUUCAAUCAUUUUUUUUUAGGACUCGGUACGAUCCUUCAUUUUGUUUAGUCAGGCAUAGACGAGAAUGUAGCUUUCUAUCGCUAUCUGACUGUUUUCUUAUCCUUCAGCUCCUUUGAUGGUGGAGGUAUUUGUGUUGGUGCCACAUCGUGCAUCGCGAACAUCCUUUUUGCCGCAUGUUGUUCCCCAUAAACGGUUUUUACCCUAUCCUUUGUCGGGAAUUUCAUCAUUUGAUGGAGGGUGGAUGGUAUUGAUCUCAUACAAUGUAUCUAUGGCCUCCCGAACACGGCGUUGUACCUCAUGUCUCCUUCGAUGACAUGGAAUUUGGCAUUUUGGGUUGUGCCGACCACGUUGACCGGGAGGGUAAUUUGCCCUUUCGUUGUUUUGCUCGCCAUGUUGAACCCGUUGAGGACUCGAGAGUUGGGCACGAUUUGGUCAAGCAGUCCGAGCUGCUCUACCACCCUCGACAUAAUAAUAUUGGCUGAGCUACCUGGAUCCACAAGUACACGUUUAAUUUGAAAUGUAUUUACAAGGAAAGAGAUUACCAGUGGUUGUAAGGCUGAGACAAGGUCUCGGGUCUCAAUGUCCUCGUCACUGAAUGUGAGAGCGUCCUCGGGUAUGUAACCUCUAGUUCGCUUUUCUCUGGUGAUGGAUAUUUUUAUUCUUCUGAUCAUCGGUUCUUGUGGAUCAUCGAUGCCUCAUAAGAUCAUGUGGAUGACAUGUUGCGGCUUAUUUGUUUCAUUCUUCUUGGUCACCUCUCUUUCCCGAAAUUGAUUUUUGGCCCGAUCGCUGAGGAAUUCUCGGAGGUGACUUUUGCUGAGUAAUUGGGCUACUUCUUCCCGAAGUUGCUGGCAAUUUUUGGUCAUGUGACCAUGCGUGUUUGGAAAUUCACACACUAAGUUAUGGUUUCUUUGCGAAGGAUCUGACUCUACAGGCCUUGGCCACCUGGUGUCUCUGAUUUUCCUGAUGGCGAAUAUGAUGUCUAAAACGUCGACGUUGAAGUUGUAUUCCGACAGGCGGGGUGCCUCCGUCGGCCCUGUGUGCCUAUCCAAUCCAGCCCUGCUAACAAGUCCACGAGGAUUCCGUUCGUGAUCCAUCAUCUGGUCGUUACAGGGUAUGUUUCGCCUUGGGGCGUUUCUUCUAUCUUCAGUGUAUGGUUGGUAUAUCUCUUUAUUCGGCUUUGACUCCUUUGUCAGAAGCCUUCUAGAAUAAAUCGAGCUCGAGGGGGCUCCUAGUUGGUCGUCUUUGACCCUGAUAUUUUAUUGGUAUCGGUUGUGGACGUCCGACCAAGUCACGGCGGGAUAUUCGACUAAGUUCUGCUUCAGCUGAUUCGAAGCUACCGAGCUUUGCUCGUUCAAUCCUUUAGUGAAGGCUUGCAUCGCCCUGUCGUCGGAGACCGGUGGUAGUUCCAUUCAUUCCAUUUGAAAGCGAGAUACAAACUAUCGCAGCUUCUCGUUCUCCUUUUGCUUGAUUUUGAAGACGUCGGAUUUUAUUGUAGCUACUUUGAUGGCACCAGCAUGUGCCAUUAUGAAAGAGUCUGCCAGCAUGGCAAAUGAAUCUAUUGAGUUUAGGGACAGGUUGUGAUACCACAUCAUUGCCCCUUUUGAAAGCAUUUCUCCAAACUUUUUCAGUAGGACGGACUCGAUCUCGCCGUCCUUUAGUUUGUUUCCCUUCACUACACAAGUGUAAGUAGUGACGUACUCGUUAGGGUCUGAGGAUCCGUUGUACUUCGGAAGGUCGGGCUUUCUGAACUUUUUUGGAAUGGGUUUUGGGGCCACUUCCUAUGGGAAUGCCUUUUGUACAAACUUCUUCGAAUAUACACCUUUCAGAAUCGGGGGUGCACCUGGAAUUUGAUCGACCCUAGAAUUGUAGGUCUAUACAUUCUUGUCGUUGGCUUCUAUCUUUUUCUCGCCCGACUCGAUCCUCUUUGUGAGGUCCUCAAACAUCUUUAUGAUGGCGGGGUCGGCUGUCGACCCGUUGUUGCUUGAUCUUUCUGGUACCUGCUCAACUCAGGGAGUCGUUUCCCGAGCUACCGUGCUGGGAGUCUUUUGGUGGCUUUGCAGCUUAGCAAUCGCCAACUGCUGUGCUUGUAACAUUUCGAAGAUGACGUGAAGGCUAACCCUUUGUUCUUCCUGAGUCGGGGUUUAUUGAACUUCUUGUUGAUCUUCUUGGUGUAUGCUCUUAUUGGUGUGGGAGCUUAUUUCGAUGUGUUGGGCGUUGCGCGAGACCAUGUACACGGGAAUUGGUUUUGGUGCAUUCUCAGGGUUUCGUGGUAGUACACCAACACCUGGAACAUCCACACCAUUUUUUCCAUGGUCUUCAAGAUUGUUGUUUUCACGUGCAUUUACCGUGUUAGACAUUUUGACCUUAAAUCAAUGAUCUUGGACAAGAAAAAGUGUGAAAGGUAACUUGCGUUAUGUAGUAAACCAGCAAGAAAAUAAUCACUAUUAUUUUUAGCCCCACGGAGGGAGCCAAACUGUUUACCGCAAAAAUGGUAAUUAUAAUUAUAUUUGAUUUUCUGGUUCUAAAAAUACGUGAUCUACUUUUAUACUAGUUGUUAGGGAAUGGAUGCUAAGUGGGAAAUAAGAUAAUAGCUUGAAAACAAUGUGAUAAUUAAACCGAAUGGCUAAUAAUCGGGGCCUUGAGCUUGUGUAUUUGGGGCCACGAGGUCGAGUCAGAUGCCCUACCGAGAAUAGUCGAUGGAGGACUAACAGUUAUGAUAAAUUCAAUGGCGGCUCUUUAUGGCCAAUAAUAAGCAAUAAAUGAAGAACAAUAAGUAGAACACAAUAAAUGUAAGUAGUGGAGUCAAGAGAAUUUGUUAGAAAGCAGAGAGAAUGUUCUUGUAUUUUUAUAUUGUGUAUCAGAUCCCCCUACAAAAUGACAAGGAUCCCUUUUUUAUAUGAGGGGGAAUCUCAACAUAGUACUAAUGCAUUUAUUACAAAGAUAUGGGGCUGGUACAAAUAUUUAAUGCCUUGAUUCGGGUCUGAACUAGCCACUAGACUUUGUCAGCUCUAGUUACGCGCCUUGGGAACUUCCCACUUUUUCACUAGACUUUGUACUGCUCCGAGGUCGGACGUCGAUAGCCCUCGUGUGUGAAUCUCGACCAUAGCCUUAAGCCUUUCAAAACGUGCUUGCGAGGCAUCGUAAUGACCGAAAAUUGGACUCUUCGAUUUUACCGUAUACAGAGAGAACAACAUGGUAGACAUGAUUUUAGCCAAAAAUAAUUAAAAGAAAGAGAGGAUCGAAGUGCACUCACCUUUUUUUGAGCAGCAAACCAAAUAAAGACUCUUUCUUAGCUUUUUAGAAUCAAGAACUCAAACUCCUACCACUGUAGACCUCAAAGUCGGAACGAAAUCAGAAGUUUGUUGGAAAACCCUAGCUUGAUUUUUACUACUCAAGACUAAAAUUGAUAUUUCUCUUUUUAUUAUGUGAUUUCGUGUGUAUCUUGUGUUGUUAGGUGAAAGUGUUAAAGCUACUAUUUAUAGUUGCAUUAAAAUCCCUCUAAGGUUCAACAGAAUUCAAACUGGCAGUGGAAGGUGAUGGAUGGGUGAUGAUGUAAGCAUAAUUAGGUGAAAAUCUAAGAAGACAGAGGGAAAUCAGCGAGAGUUUUUACUUGAGAGGGGGAAGUUGACUGUUGAAGGCAAGAAACAUUGGGUAAGAGCUUCAUUAUCCAGAGGUUGCUUCGUUUGACCUCUAGACCAAGAAUAAUCAUGAUACCCCCGGGAGACACCAUGCAUGUCAUGGAUUUAACCAAUCAUAGAAGGAUUUCUGAAUAUUUGACAUUGCAUCGUUUGGUCUAGCAUUUCGGAUUUGGGGAUCUUGAAUCUCCUAGAUGAAACUAGCAAAGGUUCAAGGAGAAUCAUGGAUAAGGAAGACAAAGGGGAUGAGUAGUGGUCAUGAUUCAUGACCUUGCACUAAUUUGUACAAGUUUCUUUAACUGAUGGGGUCUGGUGAGUUGAGAAAGUAGAGAGCAAAAGGGGAAAGGGAAUGUCUGUGUUGGGUGGAAAAUGAUUUAGGGGUUGAGUGAUUUGGGGUUUGUCUCCACGGUUAAGACUGAGAGACGGAACAGCAAUUUAAAAGGUUUAAUGAGGAAAAACGAUGAUCGUUGGAUCCUUGUAAUCCAACUAAUGAGAUAAAAUCUAGUAGGGGUAUUAAAAUAAGGAGAAAAGUAAUAAUAAAUCUGGUCCAUUGAUGGCAUGGAUCGACGGUCAAGAUUAAGUGUGUUUGUUUUUUGAGUGAGUAGGUCGGGUGACGUGGUGAGCUUAAAUUGGCUUAGGGCUAGUGACACAGAUUUCCAUAGUGUAAAGAGAGGGGUAGACUUGGACUGGGUUAGAUGGAAUUGAGCUUGGGUAUUGGGAUGUUAUUGAUUUAAACAAUAGUCAUUUUGUGUUAAAUUGCACACUUGCAAAUGUAGUCAUUUGAUCUUUAUCCUUUUAAUGAUUAAUUUAAUUAAACUUAAAUAAUUCCAAUAAAAUACAGUAGAAAUUAUAUUAAUCAAAUACAUUAUUAAUUACUGUAAUUAAUUUAUUAAUUUACUAAAAUAUCUUAUUUUUCUUUUUGCUACAUUAAUUUCGGAUUUAUUUUAAAAUAACAGGCUAUGUUGCCAAAAAUUGAGAAAUAACUUUAUUAAAUUAAUUAUAUAUCUAUGUGAUGAAUAUGAAAAUUAUUUCUUUCAAUAAAAAGAAGAACAAGACAAACAUAUGAUUAAAAAUCCCAGUCCUAAUCCAAGUUCAAGUCCUAAUCCAAGUCCAGAAAGGUCUCAAAGCUCAGGGAAAGAUGGUAAUUACGAAGAUGAAAACCACCUAAAUUAUCAAGAUGCUCAAGAUUCAUACGAAGUUGAUUCAGGAAUGAGUUUUCAUUCAAUAGCUCUACAUAAUUUAGACACGCAAAAGGAAGCAAGGUCUCAGUCAAAAGCAAUUGAGAGAAACAAAGACAAAGAAAGAGCAAUAAUGCUGGUAUCCCACUAGGCGUGCCAAUGCAAAAGACAAUUAAAGAAAAGAAGACGUGACAUAAAGAAAAGAAGACGUGACAUAAAGAAGAAAAAAAAUAAAGGAAAAAAGAUGCGACAAAAGGUAGUGUUAGUGGUGCUACAAGACAAGCUGAAAAUUUGAGUGGAAGAAAAAGUCAGAGCUAGAAGAUUUUUCGGACUAAUAAGUUUAUGAAACAACAUAUUUUUACUAAAUACAUAAGCUUCCAUAUUACAACCCCAUAUAACCAAAAAGGCUCUAGAAAUGCCAGAUAAAUUGGACAAUACUAAAGAAUUACAAAAGUUUCUAGGAAUAGUAAAUUAUGCAUGAAAUUUUAUAAAAGACUUAGGAAAAAUAGCACGACCACUAUAUGCUAAGACAGGCUUUACAGGACAAAAGUAUUACAACACAGAGGAUAUUAAAUUAGUACAAAAAAUUAAAGAAAAAUAAAAAGUAUUCCUGAUUUAAAUAUGCCUUUAGAAACAGACUACUUAAUUAUAGAAACAGACGGUAGCUUUGAAGGAUGGGGAGCAAUUCUGAAGGCAAAACCAAAUAAAUAUAGUGAUAAGAAUACAAAAAAAAUAUGUGCUUACCAAAGUGGUAAAUAUAGAGAAAAAGGAAAUAUGAGUAGUGUAGAUGCAGAAAUAUUAGCUAUAAUAUACGGAUUAAAUAGUUUUAAAUAAUAUAUAUUUAAUAAACAAAAAGUAGCAAUUAGAACUGACUAUGAAACUAUAGUUAAGUUUCACCAAAAGAUAAACGCAAAGAAUAGUAGUACAAGAAGAUGGUUAAAUUUUAUUGAUACUAUAUUAAUAUAUAAUUGGGUUUUUGAACAUAUUAAAGGAAAAGAUAAUAAUCUAGCAAAUUAGUUAAGUAGGCUUAAAACUACUGUCAAUUUUUACAUGUACAGCAUGAGACAACAGUUCCCAAGACUGAAGACAAGGGAAAGGGCAUUCAAGGCUCACCCUUAGACAAAUACUUGCAGACAGUAUUAGGUAAUCUUCAUUUUAAGCCACAGCCUUUUGCAGAACAAACUAAUAUGGAAGGAUAAGUUUUGGAAAGCAUAAUUUAAUAUUCUUUCCUCCAUCAAACAUAUCAUUUAGAAUUUUACCAGAAUGUGUCAUAGAUAGACCUCAAAGAUAUUUAAUCGAUAACUUAUGGAUAACAUACAAUAAAAAAGAUAUUAAAUAUUUUAUAGCGGCUUUUAAUGCCCUAGGACAGCAUUUUACAGACAAAAACCAAGAUAAAAGAUUUAAAUACUAUAUAGUUAUACAUGGUAAGACAAAUGGUAUUUUUCAGACAUGGUUAGAAGUACUAGACUCUAUUAAAGAUUUAGAAAAAAAGCUUUUCAAAGGUUUUAAUGACUUCACUGAAGCAUUAGACUAUGCAAGAGGAAUACUAAGACCAAACUACUAUAUCUCCCGGGAACUCAGACAAAACCCAGAAAAAACCCCCCAAUAUAACAUCCAAAAAGAUAACGAUAAGAUAAUAUUCUAUGAUCAUUGUUGAUCAAUGACAAAAGCCUUCAAACGAAUAAACCAGAAGAAUGAAAUCCUGGCACAGGAAAAAACAAAACUUAUGGAGCAAGUGAAGGUACUAGAACAGAGAGUACAUGCAUUAAGAUUUGAAUUGACACAAUCCCAGACUUAAGUUAUUUCUCAACAAGACGUAGAGAUGAGCAGUCCAAAACAGAGUAAUCCAUCUCAAGAAAAAAUGGAUGAGAAGGGUGUGCAUUCCCCAAUGAAUGCAGCAAAAUCUACUGUAUCGGAUAAUGAUACAGCUAGUCCAGCUCAAACGGUGACCGGUAAAGACACAUCAAAUCCUUUUAUAGCUGUCACUUUGCCAAAAAAGUGAAGAUGAAGGUUCAUCAAGACGAAGACUACCUAGAAAUUAACAUAGGGAGAAGCAUUAAAAAGGAAGGGUAUAAUUUCUAAAAAGAAAAAAAAAAUGAGAAAAUAGAAAACAUAAUUAAACAAACAUUAGAAAAUUACUUUCAAGAAAAAGAAGAACAAGGCAAACAUAUGAUUAAAAAUCUCAGUCCUAAUCCAUGUCCAAGUUCGAAUCCAAGUCCAGAAAGGUCUCAAAGCUCAAGGGAAGAUGAUAAUUACGAAGAUGAAAACCACCUAAAUUAUCAAGAUGCUCAAGAUCCAUACGAAAAUGAUUCAGGAGUGAGUUUUGAUUCAAUAGCUCUACAUAAUUUAGAUACGUAAAAGGAAGAAAGGUCUCAGUCAAAAGCAAUUGAGAGUAGCAAAGACAAAAGAAAGAGCAAUAAUGUUGGUAUCCCACUAAGCGUGCCAAUGCGAAAUACAAUUAAAGAAAAGAAGACGUGACAUAAAGAAAAGAAGACGUGACAUAAAGAAAAAAAGAAAUAAAGGAAAGACGAUGUGACAAAAGGUAGUGUUAGUGGUGCUACAAGACAAGCUGAAUUUUUUAGUGGAAGAAAAAGUUACAAGCACUAAAGGAUUCUCUGCUCAAGCCAUGUGAAGAUGGGGCCCAAUGAAGUACCCUACAAGGCGGGACAAGAAAGAUUUCUGGAAAUGUUUGAAGUCCAUUUUUCAAAUCCGUUUCAAAAACUUGGCUAUAAAAAGGAGAAGAAAGAAGAAGAGAAGCAAGAUACAAGUCCAAGAAAGAACACUCUCAAGAAAACCAUCCAAACAUCUACCUUCAUCACCCACCAUUCUCCAAAACACCUUGUAAUAUAGAUUUAUAAAAUAUUUCCUUAUGUAUGCAUUAGUAGUUCCUCCUUCAAUCCUGUAAAAUAAAUAAAUCUCUACACUUAUGUGUGUUCAUUUUUAAUUACAAAGUCCAGUAAGCUCUUUCGGGUUUCCCGAAAGGGAAAUUUCUCUCCUGGAAACAUUUAAGUUACUUAUUUUUAUCUAAAUUAUGUUUCUAGAUAUUACCCCUGUUUUAUUUACAGUUUUAGGUUAUUUUGUAUAGCUUUAUGCUUAUUAUUCCUCAAUUAUUAGUUUGAUUAUUGUCACGAUCCGGAUUUUUCACCCUCGGAAGUCGUGAUGGUGCCUACUAAUGUGAGCUAGGCAAGCCAAUUAUUGAACCAUCUACCUUUUUACCAAAUUUAUUCUCUUUAACAAUUACGAAGAAAUAACAUUUAAACAACAGAAUUUAACAUAAGCGGAAGAAAACAAUAAGCCAACUCAACAUGAAUAUCUAUUACAAUUGUUUGAGUCUCGACUACCCAGAACUGGUGUCACAGUUUCAUAGACGGUCUAAGAAUACUACAAAUAAAGGUCUGAAAGAAUUUAAUAUAACACUGUCUCUGGAAAUACAUGUAAGAAACAGACAGGUAGAUAGAAAGGAAACGCCAAGGCCUACGGACGCCUGCAGGGCUACUUCGGGUCGCCUGAUGAACAAGAGUCAGCAAUCUCACUGCGGUCUAAAGUCUACAACAUUGGGGUCUGCACAAAAUAGUGCAGAGUGUAGUAUCAGCACACCCGACCCCAUGUACUGGUAAGUGCCUAGCCUAACCUCGAUGAAGUAGUGACGAGGCUAGGACCAGACCAAAUAAAACUGUGCAGUUAUAUAAUAUACAGUAGAAAGUAAAGCAGGAACAAGCAAGUAAAGAUGGGAGGGGGAAACAUGUUGCGGGGGUAUACCAGUAUUAAUAGUAAAUCCAGAGUAACAGUCUAAGGGCAGCUUAGAGUCCACAGCAAAACAAAAGAAACUAAUAUCCAAACUAAGCACACUUGUAUCAAUAAUUGUUGCGGCGUGCAACCCGACCCCAAUAUAUAACAACAUUGUUGCGGCGUGCAACCCGAUCCACAUAUAUCAUUGUUGCGGCGUGCAACCCGAUCCACCCAUAACAUUGUUGCGGCGUGCAGCCCAAUCCAAUAUAACAUUGUUGCGGCUUACAACCCAAACAAAUAAAAAAUUGUUGCGGCGUGCAACCCGAUCCAUAUAUAAUAUUAUUGCAGCGUGCAACCCCAUCCAUAUAUAAUAUUAUUGCGGCGUGCAACCCAAUCCACAUAUAAUAUUGUUGUGGCGUGCAACCCGAUCCACAUAUAAUAUUGUUGUGUUGUGUAACCCGAUCCACGUAUAAAAUCAACAACAAUCAUAACAAGAGUCUCGACGAGGGAUGAAUAAGGCCUACACUAUCCCGGCAAGGGAGAAACACCUAUAACCAAACUUGUUACAACAUCUAACCACCUCAGCUAUAAACAAACUUGUUAUAACAUCUAACUACCUCAACUAUAACCGAACUUGUUCCCCGAGAGUAACCAUAAUCCUUACCCUACACAAAGAGUCAUCAACCUAAGCAUCUGUAAUAUCAAUUAAGAACAAAUUGCAAGGGAAUCACAACUCGACAAUAGCCCGGCAAGGGGGCACAUAAUGAUCUCUUCUUUUUCUCAUUUUUACUUCACAAUUCACUUCACAACUCGAGCCAAUGCUCUAGAGGUUCAAUUAUAACUUAUACUUUCACAAUUCAUUAUACAACUAGAGCCAACGCUCCUCAAUGUUCAUAGGUCACAAUUCUUUCCACAACUUUACACAACAAAUGGAAAUCCUCACCAAGACAUGAAUAAUACAACGAAGUCAUGAAAAUCACAAUAUAAGACUCACGGUCAUGCUCGACACCAAAGUAUAGAUACUCGUCACCAUGCCUAUACGUCGUACUCAACAAGAAACAAAUAGCAAAUAGGACACAACUCCUAAUCCCUCAAGCUAAGGUUAGACCAAACAGUUACCUCGAAUUUCCACGGCCAACUCAAGCCUCAAACAUCGCCUAUCCUUUCGAAUUUGGCUCCAAAUCAAUUAUAUCUAGACAUAAUCGACUUAAUAACAUCAAUAAACGUUAAACAAUCCAAUUCAAAUGCUUAAUUAUAGCUUUCUAAUCAUUCUUCCCAAAAAGUCAAAAAUAGACCCCGGGCCCGCUUGGUCAAAACACGAGGUCCGGACCAAAACCCAAUCACUCAUUCACCAACGAGCCCGAAUAUAUAAUUUAUUUUGAAAUCCAACCCCAAAACGAGGUCAAAUUCCCAAAUAAUAAAAAAGCCCUAACUCUAACCAAAUCCCUAAUUUUCUACCCUUAAUCUCAUGUUUUAGGCCUAGAAAUCUAGUAGGUGUUAAUAAAAAUGGAAGAAAACGAGCUUAGGAUUACAUACCUAUGAAGCUAUGGUGAAGUUCCUCUUCAAAAAUCGCCCAAGAGGUGUGGAGAAGAUGAAGUUUAUGAAAAAUGGUGGAAAUCCCGUAAUGUAUUUUAUUUUUGGAACUUAAAAUAACUGGGCGAAUUUGGUCUGAGAGACCUUCGCGUUUGCGUAAACGGGCUCGCGUUCAUGGAGAUUAACUCCUCGAGCCAUCGCAUUCGCGGCCAGGUGGUCGCGUUCGCAUAGGGUAUAAUAUCCCUCCCCCUGCCCAGACUCAUAAGCCUUCGCGUUAGCGUUACCAGGCCCGCGUUCGCGAAGGGAAGACCCCCUUUAGCUUCGUGUUCGUGACCUGGGUCACGUGUUCGCAUAGAAAGAAAUUUCCUACAGCAUGAAUAACUCAUCGCGUUCGCGAGGAUCCUCCCGCGAACGCGAAGAAGAAAAUACCAACACACUAUAACCGAAAAACCUGCAACUUUUAUGAGUUCAAAAACCUUCCGAAACUCACCCGAGCCCUCGGGGCUCCAAACCAAACAUACGUACUAACUGAAAAAUAUCAUAUGAACUUAUUUGUGCAAUCAAAUCACUAAAAUAUCCCCUUAAACAACAAAUUAAUCCUCAAAAUCAAUGAAAUAUUUCAAAACUUCUUAAAACAUCAAAUUUUGCCUAUAAGGUCCGAAUCACGUAAAAUGACACCCGUUUCUUACCAAACUUCACAGAAUUAUCUUAAAUCAUAUAUAAGACUUAUAUCGGGCACCAGAACCAAAAUAUGUGCCCGAUACCAACAUGUUCUAAUCAAAAUUCAUUUCCAAAUCCUUUAAACAAUUUUAGAAAACAAUUUUCUUUGAAAAUUCAUUUCUCAGGCUUGGGACCUCGGAAUUCGAUUUCGGGCAUACGCUCAAGUCCCAUAUUUUCCUACGGACCCUCCGAGACCGUCAAAUCACGGGUCCGGGUCCGUGUACCCAAAAUGUUGACCGAAGUCAAAUUUAUUCAUUUUAUAGUCAAAACUUAUUAUUUUUCACAGAUUUUCACAUAUAAGCUUUUCGACUACGUGUCCGGACUGCGCACGCAAAUUAAGGUGAUGCUAAAAGAGGUUUUUUAAAGCCUCGAAAUGCAAAAUUCAUUUUAAAAACAAGUGAUGACCUCUUGGGUCAUCACAUUCUCCACCUCUAAAGCAACUGUUCGUCCUCGAACGGACAGAAGAAGGAAGUACCUGAGUCGGGGAAAAGAUGGGGAUAACGGCUUCGCAUAUCGGACUCGGACUCCCAGGUCGAUGCCUCAAGAGGCUGACCUCCCCACUGAACACGAACAGAAGGAAAACUCUUUGAUCUCAACUGACAAACCUGCCGGUCUAGAAUAGCUACCGGCUCCUCCUCAUAAGACAAGUCCUUGUCCAACUGGACAGUGCUAAAAUCUAACACGUGGGAUAGAUCGGCGUGAUACUUCUGAAGCAUGGACACAUGAAACACUAGAUGUACGGCUGAUAAGCUCGGUGGUAAUGCAAGUCUAUAAGCAACCUCUCUUACUCGAUCAAGAAUCUCAAACGGGCCAAUGAACCUAGGGCUAAGCUUUCCCUUCUUCUCAAAUCUUAUCAUGCCCUUCAUAGGCGACACUCUAAGCAAUACCCGCUCACCGACCAUGAAUGCCAAAUCAUGAACCUUGCAGUCGCCAUAACUCCUUUGCUUGGACUGAGCUGUACGAAGCCUAUCCUGAAUAAUCCUGACCUUGUCCAAGGCAUCCUGAACCAGAUCCGUACCUAAUAACUUAGCCUCUCCCUGCUCAAAUCAUCCAAACUGAUACCGACACCGCCUACCAUAUAAAGCCUCAUAAGGAGCCAUCUAGAUACUCGACUGGUAACUGUUGUUGUAGGCAAACUCCGCUAAAAGCAAAAACUAAUCCCACGAGCCACCAAAGUGAAUGACACAAGCUCGGAGCAUAUCCUCCAAAAUCUGAAUGGUCCGUUUGGACCGCCCGUCCGUCUAAGGAUGAAACGUUUUGCUCAACUCAUCCCGCGUGCCCAACUCUCACUGAACUACCCUCCAUAAGCGGGAGGUAAACUGCGUACCUCGGUCCGAAAUGAUAGACAGGGGCACACCGUGAAGGGGAACAAUCUCCUGGAUAUGGAUCUCAGCUAACCUCUCAGAAGAUAUGAGACUGCCACAGGAAUGAAAUGCGCUGACUUGGUCAGCCUAUCAACAAUGACCCAUACUGCGUCGAACUUCUUCUGAGUCCGUGGGAGUCCAACAACAAAGUCCAUAGUGAUACGCUCCCAUUUCCACUCAGGAAUCUCAAUCUUUUGGAACACACUGCGAGGCUUCUGAUGCUCAUACUAACAUGCUGAAAAUUCAAAUACCAAUCCACAUACGCAACGAUAUCCUUCUACAUUCUCCUCCAUCGAUAAUGCUGCCACAAAUCCUGAUAAAAUCAACUCUCGGAGUCCAUCCACAUCGGGCACACAAACUCGACCCUGCAAUCUCAGGACUCCAUCAUCACCUAAGGUAACCUGCUUUCCACCUCCGUGCUGUACUGUGUCUCUAAGGACACACAAAUGGGGAUCAUCAUACUGUGGAGCUCGGAUACGCUCCAAUAAUGAAGAACGAGUGACUGUGCAAGCUAACACACGGCUGGUCUCAGAAAUAUCCAACCUUAGGAACUGAUUGGCCAAAGCCUGAACAACCAAAGCAAGCGGCCUCUCACCGACCGGAAUAUAAGCAAGACUGCUCAUACUGGAUGACUUCCUACUCAAAGCAUAGACCAAUACAUUGGCCUUUCCUGGAUGAUAUAAGAUGGUGAUAUCAUAAUCCUUCAACAACUCCAACCACCUCCUCUGCCUCAAAUUCAACUCCUUUUGCUUGAACAAAUACUGAAGACACUUGUGAUCCAUGAACACCUCACAUGCCACGCCGUACAGAUAAUGCCUCCAAAUCUUCAACGCGUGAACAAUGGCUGCCAACACCAAAUCAUAAACCGGAUAGUUUUUCUCAUGAAUCUUCAACUAUUGCGAAGCAUAGGCAAUGACCUUUCUAUCCUACAUCAACACUGCACCAAGUCCGAUACGAGAUGCAUCCCAAUAGACUGUAUAAGGCCCUGAACCUGUGGGCAAAACCAACACCGGUGCCGUAGUCAAAGCUGUCUUGAGAUUCUGAAAGCUCGCCUCACAGUCGUCCGACCAUUUGAACUAGGCACCCUUCUGGGUUAACCUGGUCAUCGGGGAUACGAUAGAUGAAAACCCCUCCACGAACCAAUGAUAGUAGCCUGCCAAACCCAAGAAACUCCAAAUCUCUGUAGCUGAUGCUGCUCUAGGCCAGUUCUUGAUUGCCUCAAUCUUCUUCGAAUCAACCUGAAUACCCUCUGCCAAUACAACAUGACCCAGAAAUGCAACUGAACUCAACCAGAACUCACACUUUGAGAACUUAGAAUAUAACUGACUAUCCCUUAAGGUCUAAAGAACCACUCUAAGAUGCUGCUCGUGCUUCUCCCGGCUGCGGAAAUAUAUCAAAAUAUCAUCAAUGAAGAGUAUUACGAACGAGUCCAAAUAAGGCAUGAACACUCGAUUCAUCAAAUCCAUAAAAGUUGUUGGGGCAUUUGUUAACCCGAAUGACAUCACCAAGAACUCAUAAUGCCCUUACCGAGUGCGGAAAGCUGUCUUAGGGACCUCGGAUGCCCUAACCUUUAACUUAUGGUAGCUAGAUCUCAAGUCAAUCUUCGAAAAUACUUUGGCACCCUGAAGCUGAUCAAACAAAUCAUCAAUCCUUGGCAAUGGAUACUUAUUCUUGAUUGUAACCUUGUUCAACUACCGGUAAUCAAUACAUAUUCUUAUCGAUCCGUGCUUCUUCUUAACAAACAACACUGCCGCACCCAAAGGCGAAACACUCGGCCUAAUGAAACCCUUCUCAAAAAAGUCUUGCAACCGCUCCUUCAACUCUUUCAACUCAGACGGGGCCAUAUGAUACGGCGAGAUAGAAAUAUGCUGAGUGUCCGGAGCAAAAUCAAUGCAAAAAUCAAUAUCCCUAUCGGGUGGCAUACCCGGCAGGUCUGAAAGGAAUACCUCAGGAAACUCGCAAACAAUGGGCAUAGAAUCAAUAGAAGGAACCUCAGCACUAGAAUCACGAACAUAUGCUAAAUAGGCUAAACACCCUUUUUCGACCAUAUGCCGAGCCUUCACAUAAGAGAUAACACUACGGGUAGAAUGACCAGGAGUCCCUCUCCACUCUAAACGAGGCAAACCUGGCAAGGCUAAGGUCAUGGUCUUGGCAUGACAAUCCAAGAUAGCAUGGUAAGGUGAUAACCAAUCCAUCCCCAAUAUGACAUCGAAACCACCAUGUCUAGAAGAAGCAAAUCUACACGAGUCUUAAGACCCUUAAUCACAACUAUACAUGAACGAUGGACACAAUCUACCACAACAGAAUCACCCACCGAUGUAGACACAUAUACAGGAGCACCCAAAGAACCACUAGGCAUGACCAGAUGCAGUGCAAAAUAAAACCGAAGCUUCUCUACUACAAACCAGAACAGUACCUGCACUCCACCUCUAGCAUCUCUACCUCCACCUCUAGCAUUUGAGCGGGCUGGAUGAGUCCCUCAAUGAGCUCCUCACUCUCUCUCACAAUGGGAAGUAUGAUAAGAGCAUAACGAGCCAAGUCGGUGAAUCUCAUCUCGUACUGAGUAACAAUCAUAGAACCCUGCUGGAGAUGCUUGAACUACCUUCGAUAGGCCUCUCUCUGAGUGAUGGGGAGAAACUCCUCUAGAAAUAGCUGAGUAAACUACUCCCAAGUCAAAGCUGGUGAUCCGGCUGGUCUAGCCAAAGAGUAAUCUCUCCAUCAAGUCUUGGUGGAUCCAGACAAGCGAAAAGUAGCAAAGUCGACUCUAUAGGUGUCAACUAUCCCCAUAUUCCUGAGAACCUCGUGACGGCUAUCAAGAAAAUCCUAGAGAUCCUCAGAAGAUGCACCGCUGAAAGUAGUAGUGAAGAGCUUGGUGAAACCUAUCCAACCUCCAUGAAGCCUCCAAAGACGCAGCUGAUCUAUCACCGGUUUACUGUUGUUCGGCUAAAGAAGCAGUACAUGACCUUGCUAUUUGCGAAAGGACAAGAGUAGAGGUUUCAACUUAGCAUUGAGAGAUCAAAAUUGCACGACAGGAAAGAAUAGAUGUGAGGUUUUUCCUAACUCCGUAGCCUUUGGGGGAUAAAUACAGACGUCUCCAUACCGAUCCCUCAAACUCUACUAAGCUUGUCUGUGAAUUGUGAGACCCAUGUAACCUAGAGCUCUUAUACCAACUUGUCACGACCCGGAUUUUCCACCCUCGGGAGUCGUGAUGGCGCCUACUAAUGUGAGCUAUUCAAGCUAAUUAUUGAACCAUCUACCUUUUUACCAAUUUUAUUCUCUUUAACAAUUACAAAGAAAUAACAUUUAAACAACGGAAUUUAACAUAAGCGGAAGAAAACAAUAAGCCAUCUGAACAUGAAUAUCUAUUACAACUGUUUGGGUCUCGACUACCCAGAACUAGUGUCACAGUUUCACAGACGGUCUAAGAAUACUACAAAUAAUGGUCUGAAAGAAUUUAAUACAACAUUAUCUCUUAAAAUACAUGUAAGAAACAAGAAGGUAGAUAGAAAGGAGACGCCAAGGCCUACGGACGCUUGCAGGGCUACCUCGGGUCGCCUGAUGAAAAAAUAUCAGCAAUAUACUGCGGUCCAAAGUCUACAAUACUGGGGUCUGCACAAAAGAGUGCAGAGUGUAGUAUCAGCACAACCGACCCCAUCUGCUGGUAAGUGCCUAGCCUAACCUCGACGAAGUAGUGACGAGGCUAAGACCAGACUACCAAAUAAACCUGUGCAGUUAUAUAAUAUAUAACGGAAAGUAAAGCAGGAACAAGCAAGUAAAGAUGGGAGGGGGAAACAUGCUGCGGGGGUAUACCAGUAUUAACAGUAAAUCUAGAGUAACAGUCUAAGGGCAGCUUAGAGUUCACAGCAAAACAAAAGAAACUAAUAUCCAAACUAAGCACACUUGUAUCAAUAAUUGUUGUGGCGCGCAACCCGACCCCAAUAUAUAACAACAUUGUUGCGGCGUGCAACUCGAUCCACAUAUAUCAUUUUUGCGGCGUGCAACCCGAUCCAUUUAUAAUAUUGUUACGGCGUGCAACCCGAUCCACAUAUAAUAUUGUUGCUGCAUGCAAUCCGAUCCACAUAUAAAAUCAACAAAAAUCAUAACAAGAGUCUCGACGAGGGAUCAAUAAGGCUACACUAUCCCGGCAAGGGAUUCGACAGCCUAAGUAAUUACGUCCCGACAAGGGAGAAACAGCUAUAACUAAACUUGUUACAACAUCUAACUACCUCAGCUAUAACCAAUCUUGUUUCAACAUCUAACUACCCCAUCUAUAACCAAACUUGUUCCCCGAGAGUAACCAUAAUCCUUACCCAACACAAAGAGUCAUCAACCUAAGCAUCCAUAAUAUCAAUAAAGAACACAAUGCAAGGGAACCACAACUCAACAAUAGCCCGGCAAGGGGGCAACAUAAUGAUCUCUUCUCUUUCUCACAUUUACUUCACAAUUCACUUCACAACUCAAGACAAUGCUCUAAAGGUUCAAAUAUCACUUAUACUUUCACAAUUCGUUAUACAACUGGAGCCAACGCUCCUCAAUGUUCAUAGGUCACAAUUCUUUCCACAACUUUACACAACAAAUGGAAAUCCUCACCAAGACAUGAAUAAUACAACGAAGUCAUGAAAAUCACAAUAUAAGACUCACGGUCAUGAUCGACACCAACGUAUAGAUACUCGUCACCAUGCCAAUACGACGUACUCAACAAGAAACAAAUAGCAAAUAGGACACAACUCCUAAUCCCUCAAACUAAGGUUAGACCAAAUACUUACCUCGAAUUUCCACGGCUAACUGAAGCCUCAAACACCGCCUUUCCUUUCGAAUUUGGCUCCAAAUCAAUUAUAUCUAGACAUAAUCGACUUAAUAACAUCAAUAAACGCUAAACAAUCCAAUUUCAAUGCUUAAUUAUAGUUUUUUAAUCAUUCUUCCCAAAAAGUCAAAAAUAGACCCCCGGCCCGCUUGGUCAAAACACGAGGUUCGGACCAAACCCCGAUCACCCAUUCACCCACGAGCUCGAAUAAAUCAUUUGUUUUGAAAUCCGACCCCAAACAAGGUCAAAUUCCCAAAUAAUCAAAAAGCCCUAACUCUACCCAAAUCCCUAAUUUUCUACCCUUAAUCUCAUAUUUUAGGCCUAGAAAUCUAGUGGGUGUUGAUAAAAAUGGAAGAAAAUGAGCUUAGGAUUACAUACCUAUGAAGCUAUGGUGAAGUUCCUCUUCAAAAAUCGCCCAAAAGGUGUGGAGAAGAUGAAGUUUAUGAAAUAUGGUGUAAAUCCCGUAAUGUAUUCUAUUUUUGGAACAUAAAAUAACUGGGCAAAUUUGGUCUUCGCGUUUGCGUCAAGCUCAUCGCGUUCGCGAUGAGCUAGGCCUGAGAGACCUUCGCGUUCGCGUAAACAGGCUUGCAUUCGCAGAGCAUUAACUCCUCGGUCCAUCGUGUUCGCGGCCAAGAGGUCACGUUCGCGUAGCAGGAAAUUUCCUUCAGCAUGAAUAACUCAUCGCGUUCGCGAGGGUCCUCCCGCGAACGCGAAGAAGAAGAUACCAGCACACCAGAACUGAAAAAUCUGCAACUUUUAUGAGUUCAAAAACCUUCCGAAACAUAUCGGAAACUCACCCGAGCCCUCGGGGCUCCAAACCAAACAUACAUACUAACUCAAAAGCAUCAUAUGAACUUAUCGUGCGAUCAAAUCGUCAAAAUAACCCCUUAAACAACGAAUUAAACCUCAAAACCAAUGAAAUAUUUCAAAACUUCUUAAAACAUCAAAUUUUGCAUUUAAGGUCUGAAUCACGUCAAAUGACAUCUGUUUCUAUCCAAACUUCACAGAAUUAUCUUAAAUCACAUAUAAGACCUGUACCGGGCGCCGUAACUAAAAUACGAGCCCGAUACCAACAUGUUCUAAUCAAAAUUCAUUUCCAAAUCCUUUAAACAAUUUUAGAAAAUAAUUUUCUUUGAAAAUUCAUUUCUCGGGUUUGGGACCUCGGAAUUCGAUUCCGGGCAUAUGCUCAAGUCCCAUAUUUUCCUACGGACCUUCCGGGAUCGUCAAAUCACGGGUCCGUUUACCCAAAACGUUGACCGAAGUCAAAUUAAUUCAUUUUAUUGUCAAAACUUAUCAUUUUUGACAGAUUUCACAUAUAAUCUUUUUGGCUACGUGCCCGGACUACCCACGCAAAUCGAGGUAACGAUAAAAGAGGUUUUUUAAACCAUUGGAAUGCAGAAUUCAUUUUAAAAAUAAGUGAUGACCUCUUGGGUCAUCACAAUAAUAACCAGACAUCACUCUUAGUAUAUGGUUAUCUUUCUAAUUUCUUAACAAUUUUGAUGGAUUAACCUUUAAAUUUCUAGGAUAAACCGGUUAAGUAAAACCCAAAAAUAACCACGAAUGGGUAUAUGUGUUUAACCGUGGCCAGGGUGAGGUUAAAGAAAAAAUAGUUAAGAAUAGAUUUAUUUCUCUACAAGAUUGGGAAGAAGAGAUGAACAUAGUGAAGUAAAAAAAAGUAUAGAAAAUUAUAGAAGGGGUAAUUUCGGUUCAUAAUUUAGAUAAUACUGUAACAAUACAGGUUUAUAGAAUAAGAGAGGGAGAGUACCGAGUAGGAUUUUUAUAAUAUAAGAGUUUAAUCACAAAAAAUAUUCUUAUUGUUAAUGUCUAUUAAUCGUUAUAAUUAUAGUAAUCUAGAAAUAUUUGCUAGAAGUCUUACCUAAAGUUUAGAAGAGUUUAAAUUAGACGUAGAAAUCGGAUUUUAUUCUAUAAUAGACUUAGCUGUACAUUUAAUAUACCUACAAUAAAAUAGUAGUAUUUGUUCAUAUAUAUAUAGAAAACAACUGCAUAUGAUAAUUUUAAUAUUAUCGUAUCAUCAAUCAUACCAUCUAAGAAGAAGAUUAUAAUUUUAAUAAAGACAAACCUUAUUAUCUAUAUCUAAGACUCUAUUUUAUAUCCAACCCUAUCUUAUAGAAAACAGAAGGGUAUAAUUUCUAAAAAGAAAAAUGAGAAAAUAGAAAACAUAAUUAAACAAACAUUAGAAAAUUUCUUUCAAGAAAAAGAAGAACAAGACAAACAUAUGAUUAAAAAUCCUAGUCCUAAUCCAAGUCCAAGUCCUAAUCCAAGUCCAGAAAGGUCUCAAAGCUCCGGGGAAGAUGAUAAUUACGAAGAUGAAAACCACCUAAAUUAUCAAGAUGCUCAAAAUCCAUACGAAGAUGAUUCAAGAAUGAGUUUUGAUUCAUUAGCUCUACAUAAUUUAGACACGUAAAAGGAAGCAAGGUCUCAGUCAAAAGCAAUUGAGAGCAGCAAAGACAAAGAAAGAGCAAUAAUUUUGGUAUCCCACUAGGCGUGCCAAUGCGAAAGACAAUUAAAGAAAAGAAGACGUGACAUAAAGAAGAAAAAAAAAUAAAGGAAAGAAGAUGUGACAAAAGGUAGUGUUAACCGAAACAACAAAUAAAUGACAAAGGGCCCCAGAAUAUCAUCACUUCUUUGUCUCACAACACAAUACGAUAACAAAAAUCAACAGCCAAGAAUAACCAUAAUACAACAUCUCCAUUUCGUGCAACCCGAUCCAUAUUUAUAUGUAUAUAUAAUNNNNNNNNNNNNNNNNNNNNNNGUGACCUUGCAUAUACAUUGUCCCUAGACAUAAAUCAUAUAGCAAAUAGACCAAUCAAGUCUUAAUUCCCUCAAGUCAAAGUUAACCAUAAUGCAUACCUCUUUCCGGAAGCAAAUUAAUAUUCAAACACCACUUUCCCUUUGGAACAAGCCUCCAACCCAAUUGAAUCUACUAAAAUAUUAUUCAAACACAUUAAAACAAGCUUUAGAAACUACCCCGUAUGAUAAAAAUCAAUCUUCACCAUAAUUGAAAUAGUCAACAAAAAGUCAAUACAUGCCCACGUAGUCGAAAUUCUAGAUUAAGACAAAAUUCCGAUUGCUCAUUCACCCUUGCACCCACACAUGUGAUUUGAUUCGAAAUCUGGCAUCAAUUCUAGUGUAAAUCUCAAUUUUACAAAAUCCAUAAAUUCUACCCAAAACCCCCAAUGACUGCUUUGAAAUUCAUAUAUUUGAUGAUGAAAUUCAUGAAAAGGUAAUUGAAAUCGAUUGAAAAGAAGUUAAAGUUACUAACCAAUGAAUUUGGGAAGAAAUUGCACUCCUAAAAUCGCAUCUAUGGAGUUUAGGAUUCAAAGAUAGUGUAAAAUGAGUUAAUUCCCGAAAUUCCGAACCUUAACCCAGCUGCAGAUGCUGCAAUUGUGAGCUUUUGCUCACAAUUGUGACCAUCGCAAAAGUGAACCACUGGUCACAAAUGCGAUCAGUGUAUGAGCUUGCCUAUUAUUGCAAGUGUGACAACUACCUCGCAUUCAUGAAACCCCUAGCCACAAUAAAUAGGGUGAAAGCUUCGCAACUGCAAAGCUGCCCAUGAACUCCCUAGUGUCACAAAUGUGAUAUAGUCAACGCAAAUGUGAACACCUUUGGGACACAAAUGCAGUUGUUGCUUCGCAAAAGUGAAGGUCACAACACCCAAACCCAUAUCGCAAAUAUGAGCCUUACAUAGCAAAUCUGAGGCUUGUAGUUGCAGACAGGUCUUCACGACUUUCCCUUCUUCCCGAACCUCAUCACACCCUUCAUAAGUGAAACCUAGAGCAAAACCCUCUCUCCAACCAUGAAUGCAACAUCACAAACUCUCUGAUCGGCAUAACUAUUCUACCUAGACUGCAUAGUACGUAGCCGAUCUUAAAUCAUCUUGACCUUUUGCAAGGUAUCCGAACCAAUUCAGUACCCAACAAUCAAGCCUCUCCUGGCUCAAACCAACCAACUGGAGAAUGAUACCGCCUCCCAUAUAAGGCCUCAUAAAGAGCCAUCUGAAUAUUUGAUUGGUAGUUAUUGUUGUAGGCAAACUCCGCAAGUGGCAAGAACCCCCAAAAUCCAUUACAUAGGUGCGAAGCAUAUCCUCCAAGAUUUGAAUGGUACGCUUGGACUGCCCGUUUGUAUUGGGGUGAAAUAUUGUACUCAACUCAACCCGUAUGCCUAAAUCAUGAUGUACGACCCUUUAAAAUUGCAAUGUGAACAGCAUGCCCUGAUAAAAAAUAAUGGACACAGGAACUCCAUGCAAACGAACAAUCUUGCAAAUAUAGAUCUCUUCCAGCCACUCUGAAGAAUAAGUAGCCACCACCGAAAUGAAAUGCACCAACUUGGUCAACCUAUCCGCAAUGACCCAUACUGCAUCAAAUUUCUUCAAAAUCUAUGGAGCCCAAGAAUGAAAUCUAUGAUAAUACACUCCCACUUCAACUUGAGAACCUUAAGUCUCUGAAACAAACCGCCAGGCCUCUGAUGCUCGUACUUCACCUGCUGGCAAUUCAAAUACUGAGACACAUACUCUACUAUACCUUUCUUCACUUUUAUCAACCAAUAAUGUUACCUCAAAUGCUGGUACAUCUUGGCGGCACCCAGAUGAAUGGAAUACCGCGAUCUGUAGGCCUCCUCAAGUAUCAACUCCUGCAGCCUAUCCAUAUUGGGCACACAAAUUCGAUCCUGUAUCCGCAACACCCCAUCAUCUCCAAUAGAAAUUUCAUUGGCAUCAUCAUGAUGCACCGUGUUCUUAAGAAGAAGCAAAUGGGGGUCGCCACACUGACGCUCUCUGAUGCACUCAUACAAAGAAGAUUGAGAGACUGUGCAAGCAAGAACCGGACUAGGCUCUGUAACAUCUAACCUUAUGAACUAAUUGGCCAAGCCCUGAACAUCUGAUGCUAGCAGUCUCUCACCAACUAGAAUAUAUGUGAGGCUACCUAUACCCACCGCCUUUAUACUAAAGGCAUUGGACACCACAUUAGCCUUCCCGGGAUGAUACAAAAUAGUGAUAUCAAGGUCUUUUAACAACUUUAACCACCUCCGAUGUCUCAAAUUUAGAACAUUUUUCUUGAACAAGUGUUGCAAAGCUGCCAAUAGAGGUAAUGCUUCUAUAUAAUUAAUGCAUGAACAAUACCUGCCAACUCUAAGUCAUGAACAGGGUAAUUCUUCUCAUGAACCUUUAAUUACCGAAAAGCGUAUGCAAUAACCCUCCAUCCUGCAUCAAUGCUACACCAAUAUCAAUACGUGAUGCAUCACAAUAUACAAUGUAGGAUCUCGAACCCGUAGGCAACACCAACAUCGGGGCUGUAGUCAAAGCAAUCAUGAGCUUCUGAAAGCUCAACUCACACUCAUUAGACCACAUGAAUGGGGCACCCUUCUGGUUCAAUCUAGUCAAUGGGGCUACAAUAGAUGAAAACCCCUCCACGAACCGGCGAUAAUAACCCACCAUACCCAUAAAGCUCCGAAUCUUUAUAGUUGAAGUAGGUCUAGGCGAGUUUUAAUUUGCCUCAAUCAUCUUAGGAUCCACUUUAAUGCCCUCGGAAGAUACCACAUUCCCCCCAAAAGGCAACCGAAUCCAACCAAAACUCACACUUUGAAAACUUGACAUAUAACUGACUAUCUCUCAAUGUCUGAAGUACAAUCCAAAGGUGCUGCUCAUGCUCCUUUUGACUGCGGGAGUAUACCGAAAUAACAUCAAUGAAGACGAUCAUAAAAGAAUCCAGAUAAGGCUUGAAUACCUGGUUCAUCAAAUCCAUUAAUGGAGUUGGGGCAUUUAUCAAGACAAAUGACAUCACUAAGAACUUAUAAUGCACAUACCGAGUCUGGAAGGCUGUCUUAGGGACAUCUGAUGCCGUAAUCUUCAACUGAUGGUAGCCAGAUCUCAAAUCAAUCUGGAAAAAUACUUUGGCACCCUAAAGCUGAACAAAUAAGUCAUCAAUCCUCGGUAAGAGAUACUUGUUCUUGAUAGUGACUUUGUUAAACUGCCGAAAAUAAAUACACAUCCUCAUCGUACUAUUCUUCUACUUCAUGAACAACAUUUGUACACCCUAGGGCGAGACAAUAGGUCUAAUGAAUAAUUUUUCAAGAAAAUCCUGCAACUGCCCCUUCAAUUCCUUCAACUCAGUGGGGGCAUACGGUAUGGUGGAAUAGAAAAGGGCUCAGUUCCCUGAGCCAAGUCAAUACAAAAGUUGAUAUCUCUAUCGGGUGGCAUCCCCAGCAUAUCUGAAGGAAACACCUCUUGAAACUCACACACAACUGGUACUAAAUCCAUGGAAUGAACCUCCACACUAGGUUCAUCAAUAUAUGCCAAAUAUGCUAGAGGUACAUUCUUAAUCAUAUGACGAGCCUUCAUAUAAGAAAUAACCCUGCUACUAGAAUGGCCUGGAGUCCCUUUCCACUAUAAUCGAGGCAACUCCAGCACGGCUAUGGUCACUCUCUUGGCAUGACGGUCAAUAUAGUAUGAUAAGGUGACAUCAAUCCAUUCCCAAGAUAAUAUCAAAGUCCAUAAUAUCAAGAAGUAGGAGAUCUACACUAGUCUCAAGGCUCCCAAUAGAAACCACAUGCGAGCAAUAAACACAAUCUAAAAUAAUAGAAUCUUCUUCAGGCGUGGAUACAUAUGUAGGAGCACUCAAAGAAUCAUAAGGCAUAACCAGAUAUAAAGCAAAAUAGGAUGACAGAAGGAAUAAAUAGAGCCCGGAUCAAUUAGAACUGAAGCAUCUCUAUGGCAAACUGGAAUAAUACAUAUGAUAACGGUGUCAAAUGACUCUGCCUCAGGUCUAACUGAAAAUGCAUAAAAAUGGGGUUGGUCCCUACCAUUCUAACCUUUUCCACUCAGACAGCCUCUCGCUGGCUGGCCUCCACCUCUAAUAGCCUGACCUCCACCUCUAGUAGCGUGACUCUUACCUCAAGCUGGAUGAGCGGGCGGUGAAGGAACCAAUGCCAGAAUCAUGGCACAAGAACCGUGUUGUGGCAUGCCACCCUAUAACCCAGGGCGAAAAGUAGCAACAUGCCUCAGACCUCCAUAAGUAUAACAAGCCCUCGGCUGCUGUGACUGUUGACCCUGGAAUUGUCCCUGUCGACCUUGAUAACCACUCUGACAACAUUGGAUCGGCGGUGCACUAAUAGGAGCUGAUGGUAAGUUGUAGGCUAGUUGCUCAGAAUGAGACCCAUAAGAACUAAGACUGCCCGAAGCACCAUGGGUUGCAUGAAGCACUGACAGAAUCAUCUUGAGAGGAUAGCCUCAACCAAAUAAACCUCAAGAUGAGGCACCACUGAAACCACUGAAUUGAUGAGGCCUUUUAUAAUAUACUACCCCUUAUCCUGACGACGAACCAUCUCGAUCCGUCUAGCAAUCUCUACGCCCCUCUGGAAAGAAAUAUAAUCUCCGAUCUCCUUGGCCAUCUGUAACCUAAUACUGAAUGUAAGUCUAUCAAUCUCCUCACUCUCUCCCUCUCAGUAGGGAGUAAGAUAACUGCAUGGAAAGCUAAGUCCACAAAUCGGGUCUCAUACUAGGUCACAGUCAUGCUACCCUGCUGGGGGCGCUCAAACUGUCUGCAGUACUUAUCUCUCAAAGUGAAAGGAAUAAACUUUCCAGAAAUAACUGCGAAAAUUGAUCCCAAGUGUGUGGCAGUGAACUAGCUGGUCAGCUCCAUACAUGAUCCUGCCACCAUCUCUUAGCCGAACCGGUCAUCUGAAACACCGCAAAGUCUACUCUAUUGGACUCAACAAUACCCAUGGUUCACAACACCUCGUAGCAAUGACCUAAGUAAUCUUGUGGCUCCUAGAAGGUGCACUACCGAAGUGAAUAGGGAAGAGAUUUGUUAACUUAUCCAACCUCAUAAAUCCCUUAGAAGACAUUGCGGACCUCUCCCAAGUCUGUGUAGCAAAAAUAGGCUGAACUACCCAACUGGAUGGACUGUUGGAGUCUUAUAUAUGGAAGCCAUCUGCUCCAGAGGGUGAGUAGCAGGAGUCUAUGCUCCUCUCCCAGCCUAAGAUUCAGCUGGUGCCACCGAAAAAUGCAUCAGUCUAUGCCACACUCUCCAUACAGCCCACUAAACGCACUAGAGCGUCCUAAAGCCGGGGAGUGGCUAUAAAUCCAUCUAGGACCUGAGCGGGUCCGACUGGUCCAGUUUGAGUUGGGAUCUCCUCCUCAUGAUCAAUUUGAGGCUCCACAGUAGGUGCUACUACAUGAGCUCUAGGAUGAGAUAUUCCUCUACCUCAGUCUCUGGCUCUACCUCAGCCCCGACCUCUACUCCUUUUAAUGGUUGCAGCAGGGGGCUCCGGUUCCUAUUCGGCUGUAGAUGUUGUGCAUUUUCUUACCAUCUACGAGAGAACAAGAAUGGAAUGAUUCAAACAUCAAUGAUAGAAUAAAAUCACACGAUAGGGAAAGAAAGAGGCUAAAUUUUCCUAAAACUCCAUAGCCUCUAGGAGAAAAAUACAGACGUCUCUGUACUGAUCCUUUAGACUCUACUAGUCUUGCUCAUGACUCGUGACAUCAAAGCAACCUAGUGCUCUGAUAUCAAUUUGUUACGAUCCGGAAUCCCAACCUCGGGGUCGUGAUGGAGCCUAACGUCCAUUUGCUAGGCAAACCAACAUUAGUUAAAUAAUUUAAUAAUUAAACAGUUUAAAAAAGAAUAAUAAUAAUUUUUAACAAAGAUUAAAGCUAAAAUACAUGAAAUAAACACAUAACAUAACGUGGUAUAACUCAACCCAAGAAGUCUGGUGUCACAGGCACAAGAGCAACUAGAAGUCUAUAAGUAUAGUUUGAAAUAAAUACAACUGUUCAAAUGAGAUAAACAGUAAAUAUAGGAAAUGUAAGGGGACUUCAAGGUGUGCGAACACCAGCAGAUCUACCUCAGAUCUCUGAAGCAAAGUGAUCCGAGGAGACACACCUCUAAGCACCAAUGGAACCAAUAGCAGCAUCUGCACAAGAAGUAUAGAAGUGUAUCAUGAGUACAACCGACCCAAUGUACUCCGUAAGUGUUGAGCCUAAACUCGGCGAGGUAGUGACGAGGCUAUGAUAAGACAUCUAUGUAUAAACCUUGUACAAAUAUAUAUAAAGUUGCAAAAUAACAAGUACAACGAUAAAAUAUUAACUGGGAGGGGACAUGCGAGAGGGGAAAUAUCAUAAAAAUGGCAAGUAAAAAAAUCACUAAAUAACAUCUUCCGAAAUAAGCAUUAAUAUAACCAAGUAAAUCAACAAAACCGGAAAUCAAAUAAGGCACUGAAAUGAAGAUGGUACGGCAUCACCCUUCAUGCUUUUACUCUUGUCUUCACCAUGUAAUAUCAUAAUGAAAUGGCAGGGCAUCACCCUUCGUGCUUUUACUCUCGUCUUCACCAUGUAAUAUCAUAAAUGAAAUGGCACGGCAUCACUCCUCCGUGCUUUUCACUCUUCCUCGCCAAAUCAACAAUACAAAUCUAAUAAUAAUAAUAAUAAUAAUAAAUAAAUAAAAGGCGAGAAAUAAUUUCACUUCAAUUAUAGUGCCAGAAUAUUCAAACUUAAUUUUCAAAAAUUUCCAACAUCUCCAAAAUAAACAAUAAAUAUGACACGAAUAAUUAAAAUUAAUAAUCCAACUUAAACAUGGAGAAACCAAGUCAAAUAAACAACUUAGAGCAAAGAAAUAAUUCUCACUUGCAUGCUUUAACCCAAUAACAAAUGCAUAUGUACUCGUCACUUUACAUAUAUGUCAUUCCCACGCACAAUUCACAUAGAAAAUAAACCACCAAUUCCUAAUCCCUCAAGUCAAGGUUAACCACAACACUUACCUCUCUACGCAACCAAAUAAAUGCCCAACCGUGGAUUUUCCUCUAGAAUUAGCCUCCAAACCAAUCAAAUCUAACCAAAUAUAGUUUAAUAACUCAAAUAGGCUUUAGAAACUACACAUGAGUGAAAAAAUUCAAUUUUUAGUAAUUUUGAAAAAAGUCAACGAAAAUCAACCCCGGGCCCGUUUGGUCAAAAUCCGAUAUUUGGACCAAAACCCAAUUAGACAUUAACCCCGAGCUCGAUGGGUGUUCAUGGAAAUGUAAGGAAACAAGUUAAAAUCUACUAAACUAUGAAGUGGGGAUAAAAAAAACUCUUCAAAAUCGCCUCCAGGUCGAGCUCAAACUUGGAAAUAGUUAAAAUUGGGGAAAACCCCAUUUUUUAGAAGUUUAAAUCACUGUGCAACAUGUGUUCUUUGCGUUCGAAGCACCUGAUGCGACUGUGAUAUACAGCGGCCCAAAUGGCCUUCGUGUUCGUGAGAUAACCUUCGCAUUCGUGAUGGCCUCACCCUCUUGGCCUUCGCGUUCGCGAUCCUAGGUUCACGUUCGCGAAGGGUAAACCCCCCCUCUGCUACUUUGUUCGCGAUCCAGUCCCCGUGUUCGCGAAGAAUAGGUUCCGUCCCAGCCCAGUUUCCCCUUCGCGAUCGCAAAGCACAUAGCAUCAAACACCAGCAAAUAGCUGAAACCAGUAACUUUAAGUCCAAAAAUGAUUUGUAGCCUAUCUGAAACUCACCCGAGCCCUUCGGGCUCCAAAUCAAACAUUCCCACAAGUGUAAUAACAUCAUAUGAACUUACUCGCGCGAUCAAAACACAAAAAUAACACCUAGAACUACGAAUUAGACAUCAAAAUGCAUGAAAUUUUCAAAGAAACUCAACAACAUCCAAAUUUACAACCGAGCGUCCGAAUCCUGCCAAACUAACUUUGUUUUGCACCAAAUUUUGAAGACAAGUUUUUAAUGGUAAAAUGGACCUAUACCAAUUUCCAGAACAAAAAUCCAAACCAAGUAGUCAUAAAGUCAAUCUACGGUCAAAUUUAGGAAAUAUUUAAACCUUCAAGUUGCUAGCUUUCGAUAAAUCAAGUCAAAUCAAGUGAGGGAUUUCCGAAUUCAAUUCCAGACAUACGACCCAGUCCAAAAUUACGAUGCUGACCCAACGAGAUCGUUAAAAUGCCGAUUCUGGAUCAUUUACACAAAAUAUUGACUGUAGUCAACUCAAGUUAUUUUUAAAAUCAAAAAUCAUGUUUCUUCAAAUUUUCACAUAAAAUAUUUUUGAAAAAUAGACACAGGCUGCGCACACAAAUCGAAAAAUAUUAAAUGUAGCUAAUAGAAGUCUCGGAACACAAAAAUAAGGGCUAGAAUUCAAAACGAUCUAUUGGAUCGUCACAAAAUCUCCAACAACAAAAGAAUGGUACUUGUACAAAUUCUUUAACAAAAAGUCCAAAUUUACCCCCUCAACUUUUGGUUAUUGUUUACCUUAAAAAUGGUACUAACAAUUAUAUUUGAUUUUGUGAUUCUAAAAAUAUUUGAUUUAUUUUAGUACUAGUUGUUAGGAAAUAGAUGAUAAGCGUAAGUAAAGAGAAUAAGAUAUGCAAAUGAAUGAUGUCGCAAGACUGGGCCUCGACCUGGCUGGAACAUGGGGCCUCGAGGUCUAGUUACGACAGUUAGCAAUGAACAAUUGAAGGGGAAACAAUGAUAUCGAAGGCCUCGAAGAUAGCUUUUUGCUGCUAAUAAUGGGCAAUAAAUGAACAAGCAAUAAAUCUGUAGAGCAAUUGUUGAGCACGUUUAGGCAAGAAAAGCAGAGAAUGUUCUAUUGUAUUCAAUAUUCAUGUGUUAUAAAAUAACAGGAGUCCCCUUUAUAUAGGAGGGGAGGAAUCCCAACAUACUACAUGUCUAAUAAUGACGAGGAAAUGCUAUUGGUACAGCUGUAUAAUGGCUCGGUACAGAUUUGUACUAUUCUUGCUGACCUGGUCUGCUCUAACCACGUGUCCUUGGGAGUUUUCCCGCCUUUCCAUAACGAUCAUCGAUUUGUACUUCUCCGAGAUUGACCACAGUGAACCUUCAAUAUGCUCCCUCGAGGGACUCACCUCGAGGUCACACAUCAAAUUCUGCUUCGAGCUUCUCGAGGUCGGGCGUGGAGUGCCACAAUAACCCUAAAGUCGAACUCCCCGAUGUUGGCUGUAUACAAUUAUGAUUAAAAAAGUUCCACCAAGAUUGGAGCUCCUCUAGGGGGCCAAGGGCAAACCUUUUUGCUAAUGGGAAAAAAAUAUUAGACCAAGAGUUUGUAAUAGCUACUCAAUUUCAAUUUACAAAGGGGAAAAUUUAACUGUUUUGCCCUUAUAUCUUUUGGUCCCGAAACAUAAAAUAUCCCAUCCGAAAUUCCAAAUGGUCCAUUAUCGGCAAGUAGCUUUCUUUUAUUAUAGUUAGUUGACAAAACACUAUCGAGAUAUCAUUAGUAUAAUAAUAACUUCAAAGUCCAUCUUCUUAGCUGCCUCCUCAUUAGAGCCGCCACUAAAAUAAGACCGAUCAAAUAAAAGCCGCCAUUAAAAUAAUGAAUUUUAGGACUCUCAAUUGUCACGUAAGUGCCAAAACUCUUCCAAUACUUUGCUGCAACUUGGGGCUGCUAGCUUCUGAGCUUCCUGGGAUAUUUCUAUGUUUAUCUCUUAAUUUACAUCUCAACUAAUAUCAAGAAAUUAAACAGGUGCAGCAAAUCAUAAAAUUUUCCUCUAAAGAAGAAAAUGACUCCGGUUACUGAUUCAUUGGCCUUUUCAGAGUCUGCGUGCCAUAUUCACUAAUGGGUCGUUUGGUACAAGAAAUAAUGAUAAUAAUUUCGAAAUAGAAUUUGGGAUUUCAUUUAUUUCAUAUUUAAUUAUAAAUAUUAGCUAAUUUCGAAAUAAAUUUUACAUUAAAAUAGUGAAAUCAACUAUCUCAUAUAUAAGGUGGAAUAGCUAAUCUCAUAGCCACCUCAGUUAGAAUCCAGUUUCCUCUAAUAAAUGCAGCGAAAUAUUAGAAGACUUUCAUUAAAUCAAUUCAUAUAAUUUAAAAAUACUAGACAUGGAAAAAAAAAACGAUUCGAGACUGUUAUGGAAGGCGUUGCCUUCGAUGUAGAUUCUCAUCCAUUGCUUUCGUGCAAUAGCAAUAUGACAUCUUAUUCUUAGAACUACUUUUAAAUGAAAGUCAUAUAGAACUUUAAAAUCUCUCAACUAGUUUUAAGGGAAUUCAAAAUACGACCAAUAUUUAUUACUUACUUAUGGAUAAAUUUAAAUAAUAUGUAUUUUAUCUUGAAAUUGAAUUGAAAAUAUUAAAUUACUUGGUUUAAUAUAAACAAUAGAUAUCGUUAAGUAUUUACCACAAACAUUUUAUUAGUUGUAACGAUGAUUAAGCAGGAAUUCCUCUGGUUGUGCAGGAUGAAAGAAACUAACUAGCUAUAAUUUCUUUUGUAAAGUCAAGAUAGUACGGCACCUUAUGGAGAAAAUAAAUAACUUUACAUCAUCAAACUCAUCUUCUUUUUUCCACAAAAUGAUCAAGUUGACAUGUUAAUAGCCAGGUCACCGGGGGCGGCUCUUAACUUCAUUAGCCUACGAAUAACAAAUCCAAUAUUAUAUUUACACAAGGCUAUAUAUAUAUCUCAAUAUAAAUAGCUCGUUGUUCAUCUUAAUUCUCCCAACAAGUCUUCCCAUCAUGUCUACCUCACAUAAACAUAAUACUCCUCAAAUGGCUGCUAUCACACUCCUAGGAUUACUACUUGUUGCCAGCAGCAUUGACAUAGCAGGUUUCUGGUCAAAUAUUUGAACUUCCCAGCCAAAAAUAUUGUCUUAUAAUUUUGUGUGCGCAAAAUUUUAAUUUAGUUGAUAGUUAUUUGCUUAUUUUUCUUUUCAAAUUGCUUGUGUUUUUUUCUCAAAUUAACUUGCACCGUAUUCAUUUAGCGAUAGUUAUUUGCUCUAUUUUUGUGUAACACUCACUCACAAACUUUUCAAUUUGAGGGGAGGACAGUGAAUCUAAGAUUGAAAUUUAUGAGUUUAAUUAGACUAAUUCCCAUUUGAUUUAUUGGCUAGAAGUCAAUUAUUUGCAUAGUGAGUCUUUUAACACACAGAUUUGAGUUAAAGCUACUACGUUCGUAUUAACCCAUAACAUAUACACCUUCUGUUCUAAUUUCUUUGACACUUUUUGUUAGUUUGUUCCAAAAAGGACGGACAUAUUUGAUAUUUGAGAAUACUUUACCUUAACCUUAAUAGAAUUUUUUAUGACAUCACAUAUAUUAUGGAAUAUAUACGACCAUAAUUUUCAAAUAUCUUAUAGUCGUACAAAUAUUAUAGCAUGUUUAAUACCACAACUUUCAAAUUCUUCUUUUCCUUAAAAACAAAAUAUGUCACAUAAAUUAAAAUAGAGGAAGUAUACUACAUCAAUCAGCCCCUAGUGGAGGGGACCUACUGUAAGUUUUUAAGUUUUCAAGAAUUCAGUAAUUGAUUAGGAGCCCGUCUGGACAUAAAAAAAAAUUCCUUUUUUUCCAAAAAAUGCCCACUAAAUUUCUAACACUAUUUUGUAAUUCUUAUUGAGCAGGGGCUCAAUCGAUAGGUGUUUGCUAUGGAAUGCUAGGCAACAACUUGCCAAAUCAUUGGGAAGUUAUACAGCUCUACAAGUCAAGAAACAUAGGAAGACUGAGGCUUUAUGAUCCAAAUCAUGGAGCUUUACAAGCAUUAAAAGGCUCAAAUAUUGAAGUUAUGUUAGGACUUCCCAAUUCAGAUGUGAAGCACAUUGCUUCCGGAAUGGAACAUGCAAGAUGGUGGGUACAGAAAAAUGUUAAAGAUUUCUGGCCAGAUGUUAAGAUUAAGUAUAUUGCUGUUGGGAAUGAAAUCAGCCCUGUCACUGGCACAUCUUACCUAACCUCAUUUCUUACUCCUGCUAUGGUAAAUAUUUACAAAGCAAUUGGUGAAGCUGGUUUGGGAAACAACAUCAAGGUCUCAACUUCUGUAGACAUGACCUUGAUUGGAAACUCUUAUCCACCAUCACAGGGUUCGUUUAGGAACGAUGCUAGGUGGUUUGUUGAUCCCAUUGUUGGCUUCUUAAGGGACACACGUGCACCUUUACUCGUUAACAUUUACCCCUAUUUCAGUUAUUCUGGUAAUCCAGGCCAGAUUUCUCUCCCCUAUUCUCUUUUUACAGCACCAAAUGUGGUGGUACAAGAUGGUUCCCGCCAAUAUAGGAACUUAUUUGAUGCAAUGCUGGAUUCUGUGUAUGCUGCCCUCGAGCGAUCAGGAGGGGCAUCUGUAGGGAUUGUUGUGUCCGAGAGUGGCUGGCCAUCUGCUGGUGCAUUUGGAGCCACAUAUGACAAUGCAGCAACUUACUUGAGGAACUUAAUUCAACACGCUAAAGAGGGUAGCCCAAGAAAGCCUGGACCUAUUGAGACCUAUAUAUUUGCCAUGUUUGAUGAGAACAACAAGAACCCUGAACUGGAGAAACAUUUUGGAUUGUUUUCCCCCAACAAGCAGCCCAAAUAUAAUAUCAACUUUGGGGUCUCUGGUGGAGUUUGGGACAGUUCAGUUGAAACUAAUGCUACUGCUUCUCUCGUAAGUGAGAUGUGAGCUGAUGAGACACUUGAAAUCUCUUUACAUACGUAUUCCUUGGAUGGAAAACCUAGUAAAAACAAGAGAAAUUUUUUCUUUAUGCAAGAUACUAAAUAACAUUGCAUGUCUCUGUAAGUCCUCAUGGAUUGUUAUCCAGUGACGAUGCAACUCUGAGUGGUUUUAAAUUCCUUUUCUUUGUGAUAUUGGUAAUUUGGCAAGAAACUUUCUGUAAGUUUGUGAAUUUCAUGCAUCAUUAAUUAUACAUCAGUUCCAUGUUUGAUCAGAUUGGGAUUUGGUAACUU